rfam:Aedes albopictus isolate Foshan contig82712, whole genome shotgun sequence.
UGCCCAGCAACUCCUAUCCCUACCUCCACGCGGUACCGGCCGGAAACUAUGAGCAACCUUAGGGAAGAUCGGGUAACCAACCCCGGUGGGAACUUUGGUCGUAGGCGGACAGGGAAGG